rnacentral:rRNA from 1 species
AGAGUUUGAUCAUGGCUCAGAUUGAACGCUGGCGGCAGGCUUAACACAUGCAAGUCGAGCGGGGGAAGGUAGCUUGCUACUGGACCUAGCGGCGGACGGGUGAGUAAUGCUUAGGAAUCUGCCUAUUAGUGGGGGACAACAUCUCGAAAGGGAUGCUAAUACCGCAUACGUCCUACGGGAGAAAGCAGGGGAUCUUCGGACCUUGCGCUAAUAGAUGAGCCUAAGUCGGAUUAGCUAGUUGGUGGGGUAAAGGCCUACCAAGGCGACGAUCUGUAGCGGGUCUGAGAGGAUGAUCCGCCACACUGGGACUGAGACACGGCCCAGACUCCUACGGGAGGCAGCAGUGGGGAAUAUUGGACAAUGGGGGGAACCCUGAUCCAGCCAUGCCGCGUGUGUGAAGAAGGCCUUAUGGUUGUAAAGCACUUUAAGCGAGGAGGAGGCUACUUUAGUUAAUACCUAGAGAUAGUGGACGUUACUCGCAGAAUAAGCACCGGCUAACUCUGUGCCAGCAGCCGCGGUAAUACAGAGGGUGCGAGCGUUAAUCGGAUUUACUGGGCGUAAAGCGUGCGUAGGCGGCUUAUUAAGUCGGAUGUGAAAUCCCCGAGCUUAACUUGGGAAUUGCAUUCGAUACUGGUGAGCUAGAGUAUGGGAGAGGAUGGUAGAAUUCCAGGUGUAGCGGUGAAAUGCGUAGAGAUCUGGAGGAAUACCGAUGGCGAAGGCAGCCAUCUGGCCUAAUACUGACGCUGAGGUACGAAAGCAUGGGGAGCAAACAGGAUUAGAUACCCUGGUAGUCCAUGCCGUAAACGAUGUCUACUAGCCGUUGGGGCCUUUGAGGCUUUAGUGGCGCAGCUAACGCGAUAAGUAGACCGCCUGGGGAGUACGGUCGCAAGACUAAAACUCAAAUGAAUUGACGGGGGCCCGCACAAGCGGUGGAGCAUGUGGUUUAAUUCGAUGCAACGCGAAGAACCUUACCUGGCCUUGACAUACUAGAAACUUUCCAGAGAUGGAUUGGUGCCUUCGGGAAUCUAGAUACAGGUGCUGCAUGGCUGUCGUCAGCUCGUGUCGUGAGAUGUUGGGUUAAGUCCCGCAACGAGCGCAACCCUUUUCCUUACUUGCCAGCAUUUCGGAUGGGAACUUUAAGGAUACUGCCAGUGACAAACUGGAGGAAGGCGGGGACGACGUCAAGUCAUCAUGGCCCUUACGGCCAGGGCUACACAC